rnacentral:lncRNA from 1 species
CUCUUGCACAGUUUGUAUUUUUUAUUGUUGAGUAUUGGAAAUUCUAUAUUUAUAUUGAAUACAAGUUCUUCUUUUUGAGUUCAUAAUAGUUUACAUCAUUGUGAAAUUUCAGUUGUACAUAUUUCUUGUCACUACGCAAGUGCUCCCCUUCACCCCCUGUGCCCACCCCCCACUCCCCUUCCCCUGGUAACCACUGAACUGUUUUCUUUGUCCAUGUGUUUGUUUGUAUUCCACAUAUGAGUGAAAUCAUAUGGUGUUUGUCUUUCUCAGUCUGGCUUAUUUCGCUUAGCAUAAUUCCCUCCAGAUCCAUCCACGUUGUUGCAAAAGGGAGAAUUUUGUCUUUUUUUAUGGUUGAAUGGUAUUCCAUUGUAUAUAUAUGCCACAUCUUCUUUAUCCAAUCAUCAGUCGAUGGACACUUGGAAUGUUUCCAUGUCUUGCCUAUUGUGAAUAAUGCUGCAAUGAACAUAGGGGUGCAUAUGUUACUUUGGAUUGUUGAUUUCAAUUUGUUUGGGUAGAUACCCAGUAGUGGGAUAGCUGGGUCAUAAGGUAUAUCUGUUUAGUUUUUUGAGGAAUCUCCAUACUGUUUUCCAUAGUGGCUGCACUAGUUUGCAUUCCCACCAAGCAUACAAGUUCUUUACCAGAUGCAGUUGACCUUCCGGAUCCACAUAUACUAUGUUUGUAAUCCGUGGUUGGUUGAAUCUUCGGAUGGAGUCGACUAAAGGACUAGAGCGUCCGUGGAUUUUGGUAUCUGCAGGGGCGUCCUGGAACCAAUCCUCCACGGGUGGGACACCUACCACAGCAUGGCUUGCCAAGUGGUGCCAUAUCUGCACCCAGGAUUCAAACUGGUGAACCUCGGGCCACUGAAGCAGAAUGUGUGCACUUAACUGCUGCACCACCAGGCUGGCCCUUUGUUAAGUUUACGACAGGGGUCAGGAAAGUCCUUGACGAUGGCAUAUAAUUUGGACCAAGACCAAGAUUUAAAUGUUGUCUCUUCUGUUGGCCUCACUUGAGAAUGAGUAUUGGCUGCACCUUGGGCUUCAUCUAUAAGAGAUGGGGACCCAGUGAACCUUAUAGUUAUAGGGAGUUGAGG